rnacentral:rRNA from 1 species
UACGUAGGGCGCAAGCGUUGUCCGGAAUUAUUGGGCGUAAAGAGCUCGUAGGCGGCCUGUUACGUCUGCUGUGAAAUCCCGGGGCUUAACCCCGGGCGUGCAGUGGAUACGGGCAGGCUGAAGGCAGGCAGGGGAGAACGGAAUUCCCGGUGUAGCGGUGAAAUGCGCAGAUAUCGGGAGGAACACCGGUGGCGAAGGCGGUUCUCUGGGCCUGUACUGACGCUGAGGAGCGAAAGCAUGGGUAGCGAACAGG